UCUUUCCUCACUCCCUCCUAAUCUACACCACUUUUCCCAUCCACAGCCGGAGCUCCCUCCUCCUAAUCCACCACCAGAGAGCUCCCGCUACUACACUUCGUCAGCAACGCCGGUGGACGGGUGGUCCUUGCUCUGUCCCGCCCCUCCCCUUCGUCAGCACCGCCGGCGGACGGGCAAGCCCCUGCUCUGCCCCGCCCCUCCCCUUCGCCAGCACCGCCGGCGGACGGGCAGGUCCCUGCUCUGCCCCGCCCCUCCCCUUCGUCAGCAGCACCGGCGGAUGGGCAGGCCCAUGCUCUGCCCCGCCCCUCCCCUUCAUCAGCACCGCCGGCGGACGCACAUGCCCCUCCUCUGCCCGCCCCUUCUUCCUAUCCGGUGACGCCGGGGCCCUCCCUCCUCCUCUCGACGGCGGGGCACUCGAGCUUGGCAUGUUCGCCAGCGAUGCCGGGGCCUUCACUCGCUGAUGCACUCGCCGCGACGCCAUGAAGGACCAGCAGCAGUUGCUGCUGGCGACCUCCAUCUUAUUAGGAUCACCACGAUGACCUCUGCGUGUUGUGCUGCUGCUCGGGACCCUCCCUAUGCUUCUCCUCGCUUGUCCGGAUCCAGAAACUUCUUUUGUGAUGCAACUAAUGGGGGAAUACAAAAGACACAUAAUGUCGAUUACUUUGAGCCUUUGAGUUAGAAGCUUGAUCAGGCAUUGUAGGUGAAUCAGUACAAUGCUCAUUUGACAAGGAUUCAUGGAAGGACGUCAGGUUUAGGUCAGGUUGACAAAGGAGCAUGCAUUUGCGGAGCAGUUCGCCCGCGCUGACGUCGUCGGGUGAGUAGUGUGUGGUGAUGGCGCAGUACAGUCUGGGCGGAGGCGUCUUCUAGCCUAAUGAAGCCUUGGUGGCAGCGGUGUGUAAAAGCCUUUUGAAUUUCAGAUCAGAGAAGAAUAUGCACCUAUGUCGGCGAGGAGCUCCUCGUUGCGGCCGUGGCAGUGCGCUUGUGCGGCUGCACCUGUGUUGGGGAACAGCGCGUUGUCGUGGCCGUCGUCCAGUGCCUCGGCGAGCUCGUCGUCGCGGCCUUCGUCGUGUGCCUCGGCGAGCUCGUCGUCGCGGCCGUCGUCGUGUGCCUCGGCGGCUGCGCAGGGCAGCGACGAGGCAUGUAAUCUGGACGCCGGGCCUGGCUUGAUUCCCGCUAAGUUAGCUUAUUUGUUUCCGUAUAUCACUCCCCGUGUAAAUUGUUCGUGGGUUGUUACUUUUUUUUUAGGAAGGGACGUGGGGUUACCUGUAGAUUUACCUGUAGACUCGUGCGGGCUUGCGUUUGUACGGGCAGAGUUUUCGUCCGCUUUCAUCAUGUUUUUUUGUUUAAUAGUAGUGUAGAAUAAAGUCUUGGCGACAGCGGUGUGUAAAAGCCUUUUAAAUUUCAGAUCAGAGAAGAAUAUGCACCUAUGUCGGCGAGGAGCUCCUUGUUGCGGCCGUGGCAGUGCGCUUGUGCGGCUGCACCUGUGUUGGGGAACAGCGUGUUGUCGUGGCCGUCGUCCAGUGCCUCGGCGAGCUCAUCGUCGCGGCCUUCGUCGUGUGCCUCGGCGAGCUCGUCGUCGCGGCCGUCGUCGUGUGCCUCGGCGGCUGCGCAUGGCAGCGACGAGGCAUGUAAUCUGGAUGCCGGGCCUGGCUUGAUUCCCGCUAAGUUAGCUUAUUUGUUCCCGUAUAUCACUCCCCUUGUAAAUUGGACGUGGGUUGUU